rnacentral:lncRNA from 1 species
AAGGUGUCUACCUCCUUACUUUAAAGGAUUUGUGCAGUUUAGACUCUGAUAAAGUAAGUAUUUUCUAGGUAUGGUGUACAUUAUAGGAUUUAUGAAAGCAAGCAUGUCUUUUAAAAGUUUGACAAAUAAGUACCGUAUGUAUAUAUUUGAUGUAAAUACUGCAAGCAGUAUACAAUUUGCACUGUUGGAGUUAAAUCUGCAUUUUGAGUUGUUGUGAUGACCUGGUAUGGCAGCCAAUGAGUUCAAAACUAUAGCACUAUUUGUAUUGACCAGGAGACACUCAUGAGAUCAGUAGAUAUGUUGUAAAUGAAAUAGAAGAAUAAUUUAAAUUUGUAGGUAGAUUGUGUAUGAUCAAGUAAUUUACCAUGCUUUCUUCAGAUCUAUACAAUAAAUUGUAAUAAUCCUGUUAAGUUUUAUUUCCUGCAAAAUCAAUUUAGUGCGUUUUCUUUAUCAUUUGUUAUGCGGCAUCAUCCAAGAUUGAAAUGUGAACCAUAUAUUGGAGUUUGCUUAGUAAUUAAUGGUUUGAAAGUAAUCUCCCACCUUGUACAUUUGCAGGUAUUAUGAGUCCAACGAAGGUCAUCGAAAGGAAUUGGGUGACAUUGAUAUUACAAAUAUGUUGCUGGCUCAAUAGUUGUGUUUAAUCUCGACACAAAGCAAGUUAAGUGGACUGCGGAACUAGAUCUGAGUACAGAGACUGCGACGUUCCGUGCUCAUAUAUAUUCUUCUCCAACUGUAGUGGAUUUGGAUGGUGACGGGAAUCUGGACAUUCUUGUCGGAACUUCCUUUGGCUUGUUCUAUUUCUUGGAUCAUCAUGGUGAGUUAGCUUUUCUUACUCUCAUUGCUGCGGUUGCUGGCAUUUUCCCCUCAGAGAGCAUGAGUUGCUUCAAGUUCCCUGGCAUACAAGACGCUGGAUCAUCUUUGAUGUUACAUACAACUCUUUUUGUUAGUGAUAUCGAAACUAAACUGUUUCUUUUGUUCAGGCAAGGUCAGAGAAAAAUUUCCUCUUGAAAUGGCUGAAAUUCAAGGAGCUGUUGUUGCUGCUGAUAUCAAUGAUGAUGGAAAAAUUGAACUAGUGACUACUGAUGCUCAUGGAAAUGUUGCUGCAUGGACUACAAAAGGAGUAGAAAUUUGGGAAAAUCAUCUUAAGAGUCUAGUUCCCCAGGUACGUUGAGGGUUUGAUUGGAUAUUAAGUAGAGUGCUAGUACAUUAUUUGGUGGACCACAUUUUUAGGUCAGUUGUUUUUUGGAAAUUUCUUUUCUGCUCUGGACCUUAUGAGUUUAAUUUACCAUUUUCCUGGAGAGAUUAUCGGUUUUCAACUUGCAUGCACUAUGCUCAAAUUUAUGAGUCAUUUUCUCAAGAACACUACAUAUUUUUUUCUAUGUAUUAGCACUGUCAAGGUUUCUACAUAUAUGUGAUUUAAUAGACAUUACAACUCAGCUUAUUUACGUCACAGUGGGCUGGUUUGGUAUUGAUGUGCUUUGAAAAAAAGCUGUUGUGAGAAUAAGCGGCUGUGCUGUGAGAAUAAGUGGCUGUGAAAUAAAUUAGCAGAGUGUUUGGUAAACUUUUUUGUAAAAGUGCUUUUGGAAAAAAAAAGCAGUCUGAUAAUGGGUCUUUUCAUUAAAGGAGCACUGUAGCUCCGUGUGCUUUGAAAAAAAAGCCAAUUUUCCAAAGCUGCAAAUAGCAGCUUCAGCAUUUUCCUUUGAUUUCAGCUUAUUCUCACAUCAGCUUCCAAAAUAAGCUUUUUUUUUUUCAGUUUACCAAACACCUAAAACCCUCACAGCUUUUUUUCAUGGGUGCUUUUUUUUAAGCACCUCACUCCCAAACCACCCCUGAAUCUAAUGCACAUUUUUGUUCCUCAGGGUCCCACUAUUGGUGAUGUUGAUGGGGAUGGCCAUACUGAUGUUGUGGUUCCAACUUUAUCCGGCAACAUAUAUGUUCUUAGUGGCAAAGAUGGGUCAAUUGUUCGUCCUUAUCCAUAUAGAACUCAUGGGAGAGUUAUGAAUCAAGUUCUUCUAGUUGAUUUAAGUAAAAAGGGAGAGAAAAAGAAGGGACUCACCCUUGUUACAACUUCGUUUGAUGGUUACUUGUACCUAAUUGAUGGACCUACAUCAUGCGCCGAUGUGGUCGACAUUGGUGAAACUUCGUAAGUUAUUUUUUCCUACAUCUUUACUUAUUUCUCCUCCUUUCCAUGAUUUACCUGAAACAUUGAUCUCUGCAUGACAGAUAUAGCAUGGUCUUAGCAGACAAUGUUGAUGGUGGAGAUGAUCUUGAUCUUAUUGUUUCAACCAUGAAUGGCAAUGUUUUUUGCUUCUCGACUCCUGCUUCGCAUCAUCCCCUCAAGGCAUGAUAGAUCACAAGCUUGAUCUGUCAAUAGUUUCUUCUGUUGUCUUCAGUUUUUCUUUUUUGCUUUUUGUUGGGUGAUAAUGUUUUGUUUUUAAUCGUCUUUAGUGUGUUUCCUUUCUCAGGCAUGGAGAUCACCUAAUCAAGGAAGAAAUCAUGUUGCAAAUAGGCAUAACCGUGAAGGUAUCUUUGUUUCACAUUCAUCAAGAGCUUUCCGUGAUGAAGAAGGCAAGAACUUUUGGGUGGAGUUUGAGAUCAUAGAUAGCUAUAGAUACCCAUCUGGGUUGCAAGCACCCUAUAAUGUCACAGUAAGUUGCUCAUUCCCACCAAUUAUUUUGGCCAAAGUCGACUACACAGUCCUCCCUCCCUCUGUCUCUUGUAUACACACGCAGGUAGCUUGUAUGUAUAAUAUAAAAAACUCAAUCCAACAUUUGUUUUCUUUCAAACUAUGUAGGUAACGCUGUUAGUGCCAGGUAAUUACCAAGGAGAGAGAAGGAUAAGAAUAAACGAGACCUACAAUCGUCCUGGAAAGUAUCGUAUGAAGCUUCCGACAGUUGGUGUAAGGACUAUGGGUACUGUUUUGGUGGAGAUGGUUGACAAGAACGGACUCUAUUUUUCAGAUGAUUUCUCCCUCACAUUCCACAUGUAUUACUAUAGACUGUUGAAAUGGCUGCUCGUCCUACCGAUGCUUGGAAUGUUUGGCAUACUUGUAAUCCUACGUCCUCAAGAAGCUGUGCCUUUGCCAUCAUUUUCGCGAAACGCUGACUAAAUGUUCAACCUUUAUCAAUGCAAAGACAGAUGACGGACAUUCUCACCCGAACAAGUGCAGAAACCAUGGCGAAUAUGACAUCACUGCGCACUCCGGUGAAUAUUUUUUAUGUCCACGCUCAGAUUGAUCUUGGUUUGGCCCCAAAGAAACCGAGUUUUGAACAAAUAGAUAUCGGAACUGGUAACAUGGUUGGAUAUGAAUUCAAGGAAUGAGUUCCAAAUCCGAGUUUUUUGUUGAUUAUUGUUUUAGAAGAGAUGUAAGGCAAACUAACGGAUAUUCAUUUACACGAAAUUCUCUCUUGAUUUUAUAGUGGAUGAUUAUCUAUAAAUUGGCAAUUUCAAUUUCAUUCAAACUUACAAGUUUACUUGGAAACAAUUGGUAUUGAAAUUAUUUCGACUCUUCGACUUUCUAUACUAGUGCACGAGUACUGAAAUUAUUCUUCGAGUUCUUCUCAUACGUUUACCAACACAUAUGACAUCAAUAAGUACGUGAAUUGACAUUACAAUUCGUAAUUCAGUACCGAUAAAACCAAAUUCAUUACUGUCUCUACUCUUCCUAGCCACACCAAUUCAAAACUCUCGCUAUUCCAAGUAAACAUGCCAUCAAUAGGUUUGCUCUCAAAACCGAAGUCCCAACUACAUGCUCCUAUUGAACUUGUGCUACCGACUUUAAAGACCGUUGUUAUUGACAUCCUAAAAAAGUCAUCUGGCACGGUCCAAUGCACCGUAAAUGAAUUGCUACAGGCCAAAUAUGAGCAGGUUCAUAAUUUGAUGCAAAAAGUUUAUCAUAUAGUAAUAUUAUAGCCAAAACUAUAGAGACCCAGAAAUCUAAUUCCAGGAAACCCUUGUUCUAUUUAUCUCUCGACAAGUGAAUACAAUCAUGUUCAAAAAUACAGACCGAAAGUAGAAAUAGAGGUCCAAUAUGCAGAAUUGAACUUGAUCACACGAUAAAGUAGUGAUUGUCACGCUCCCGUUUUCUUCUUUUGCACUUGCCUUUUAUUUCUGUGCAAAGGCUGGAAGACAAGAGUCGAAAACGUGAGCGCGAAAAUCACUUCAGAGUUCUCGAAAAACGAGAGCGCUAAAAGACAUGCAAGACAGGCCUCUUCCCGAGCCUCUUAAUCUCUCUGUCCAUAUUACCAGAAAGCAUCAAAGCAAACAUCUUGAAAUCGCAGAAAAGGGACCAAAACGGAUGCCCGAACGUCGCCGGAAUAUUCCCCUCCACGAAAAAAUGGCUGUACCACGCCAAUCCGUACCCAGAGAGAGGCACACAAAGCAGAAACCGCCAAUCGAACAGCAGCGAGCAGAGGAGGAAGAAGAUAGAAGCUAGGGUUCCUGCAAAAUGCCACCGCCGCGUCGAUGGUUUCGAGUGCUGGUUCAUGUAGAAGGCCCAGAACUCCUCCAAGCUCCUGAAAUUCAUAAUCUUUUGUGAAAGUAAGAGCAACCCAGUUCAGGAUUCAGAUUUUUGUGAAGAGACCCAAGGGAAAAAAAUGAUCAGAAUUUGGAUUUGGGAAAGAUUUUGGAAGCUUUGAGAAUAAACCCAGAAAAAUAAAAGAAGAAAAAGAAGCUGGUGGAUAAUCUUUUGGGGGUUCCCUGAAAUGUUGAGCAGAGAGAUCUUGAGGAUGGGACGAAAGAAUAAAUUUGGAGUUUUGGUGAUGGAUUAUGGUUUUACCCGCUGUGUGGUUGUUGUUUGUGGAAGGAUGAAACACAGCAGGGUGAAAAAAGUCUGAGAGGGUGAACAGUUUCUGUGUGUGCGUGGAUUGAAUAACGCAAUAUUUAUUAGAGACUAGAGUCGUCCACGGCAUUGACUUUAUACCUAUCAUUGGAUUUUUGUUAUUUUUUCUUGGUUUUGACAUGUUGAUUAAUUGAAGAGAACAAGGGGGGUUGAAGAGUUUUUUUAAUUCUAAUUAUGGAUAAUAGAGUUUGAUAUUUCAUUUGAAGAACUUGCAUGGGACGCGAUCAUCAAAAAUAACAUUAAUCUGCAUGAUAAUACAUUAAUAAAUCAGAACCCAUUAGUGUUUAUAAGGCCAUUUUAUGUAAAUAGUCUUCAUUUCAUAGAUGCUGAUUUUUAAGAGCAUCUUCAACAGGUAUGUUCCCUAUCAAGAGUUGCAUGGUCGCUCAACAUUCUAUUUGAUAUGAAAUGUAGAGAAUAAUGAUGUUUCGUGAUCACCAAUCCUUAGUCAUCAAGUGGAAUGCUUUGGAAUAAGCAUGUCAUAAUUAUCCUUAGUCAUCAAGUGGAAUGUUUUGGAAUAAGCAUGUCAUAAUUAUUGUUAGUCAAAAGGUCUCCAACAGACAAAAUUUAAGAACAUGGUUUUUUUUUUUUUUUUUUAACAAACAAUAUUAUUACACUGAAGGGAUGUGGGAGUGACAUAAACCUCACAAUAAGCUAGCAGUAAUGUAGUUCAAAUUCGUAUUUAACGAGAAUCGAACAUAAUACCUCUUAGUUACAAAUAAACAAGGAUAUCACUAGACUGUAAUACGGGUUGACAAUUUUAAGAGAAUGUUAAAUACUCAUCUUAGAUAAAAUAUAUAAAUUUAACUCUUCAAGGUAAAACAUACCAAUCAAAAAAAGAAUAAUCAUUAGAAUUUUAAAUUUACAUCUCUCAAUUAAAAGAACUGAGAAUUCAAUAGAAAGUAAAUGUAAUUUUUACAUCUUAAACGCAUCACCCCUCCAUUAUGGUCUAAGGUAUUAAUAGUUAUAUACAACAUCCAAUAAUGAUGAGGAACACCAUGUCAGUCAGAACGUCACAGUCAUCCGAUUGUGAAAUGCUGCUCUUGUUCUAUUGGCCCCAUAGCCAUUCAGAUCGCUUGGUGGUAACAUAUGCUUGGAAUUCAUUGGAGGACACAAGAAGGAAAUUAAUAUGAUAAAAGAAAUUAAAAAAAAAAAGAAUAAACCUUAUGAGUGGAUGACAAUCUUGCAAAAUUACCGGCCAGGCACGGCUGCACCUCCCAUCAUACAUGUGACGACGGUAUAUAUAUUUGUAGUGGUUUAAUGUGGUUUUCUGUCGGUGACUCAAACGGUUCGUUGAUAUUCAUUCGUUUAGUAAAAAUAAAAAAAGAGAGCAAAUACUUUACAUGAGACUUUUUUUUUCUUUCUUAACCAACGAUAUUAUUUAUAUUAACGGAGUGAGAAAAUAAGUUAAGUCUCGCAAUAUGUUAGCAAUAACGUAAUUUAAAUUUUCUUUUGAAAUUUGACUGCAGUCCGACAGAUCAUGCAGAUAGUGUUUGUGGCAGGAAUUUCCGUUGGGAUGUCUCCUAACCGACGAGCACACAGCUCCCCGAGAGGUUGACACUGGUUGAUGCUUUCUGUCGGGCUUCUACUUCACUAGCGGGUUUGUCGGGCAAAGCUUGUCGGGCAAGGCUUGUCGGGCAAGGCUGAAAGAGAAGGACAUAGUUAACUUUGAAAGGUGCCUUUGUGGGGCCUUAGGUGUAGGCCUUGAGGUUCACAAUCAAGAUUAACUUUUAAGUGCUCAGGUGUGCCACUGCCAACUUUAGCAUGGCAGAUGUAAAAUGGAUGUUGAGGUUUAGUUGCACAUAUACUCGAGAGACCAUGUUAGUUAUGACAGGUGCCUUUGUGGGGCCUUAGGUGUAGGCCUUGAGGCUUCCGAUCAAGAACUAACCCAGUACUCGAAUAUAUGAUGUCUGUUUUAUUGUUUGCAGAAGUGUUAUAACCAUUAUACUUCUGAUCAUCCGAGCCCGCAGAGCAGAAUGAACCCAAAUAGGUGCCUUUGUAGGACCUUAGAUAUAGGCCUUGAGGCUUCUCAUCAGAAUCCCUUCUAUACUCAAACGUUCUACUAUAAUCAUAAUAUAAUAGAAAUAAAACUAAGAAAUAGAUCGAUUACUUGCGUCCCAAGUAACUUCAAACUUCUUGUUAUCAAAACUUGUCGUGGAUGGGUUAAGUCCACAUAAGGUUCUUUCUUAUGCCUUGAGGCCAAGGACUUUUAAAUGAUCAAUCUUACAUACCUGAGAGCUUAGAACUUAGAUCUGGUUUGAACUAUGAAGACAUAUUCAAAUUGGAUUCAAGAGCUGAGAGAGUCUUUUAAUAGUCAUCUUACUAGAAAUAACUUGAAUACAACUUGAAGUAUACAACAUAUUGCUAGGCUAAUGAAAAGACAAAAACAAAGAGCGUCGGGCAAGGUUUAACCUUGUCGGGCAAGGCUGAUCGUCUUGCAAUUUCCUAUCUUUGUGGUUUAUCAAGGGGUUUGAGAGCUUUUAGAAAGGGGGAUAAGGAGAUGAGUUUACAGAAAGAAAUCGAUACUACAGCAAGCUUAGGACAAGGUAGCAGAGCUAUUACAAAGGCUUUUGGUGAUGGUUUAUCCCGAAAGUGAUGAAGGCUUGGGCUGACUACAGCUUUGUUUGAAGGCAAAACUAGCUUUGAGCAGAGUUUGUGCUUGUAUUUGUUUGUUUGAUUGAGUGUCCUUAUCUCUAAUUUUUCUUUCGUCUUUUAUAGACACUUCGGUUUGGCCUCCUGUAACAAUAAUCUUGCCCGAAUGCAGUUUGAAGGAUAGUGACUCAUCAGCCUAUUUACUUGUACUGCCACUGUAAAGUACUUUUGGGCUGAUUAGCUAGCUGGUCUAUACUACUUGGUCCCUAGGCAGGUGAGCAAGUGGUGCAAAUGAUUUGCACCUAGUCGGGAAAGGCCUUUUUUGCCUUCUGGGCUCCGGCUGGGCUUCGGCUUUCUCUCCUCCUUUUGAGCCCAAAGUUUAAGUUUUAACCCAAACAGGUAGCUCUAGAAUUUACCGGAACAUAUUGAAUUAGAAGCACUUAUAUGAUUCAGUCAAAUCAAGUUCAAAAUUCAGCUGCACUUACCCGAACAUUAUUGUAUAUUUUUGUAACAAAGAACCAUACUGACAGUAUUUGCGUGUAGCAGUUUAUUGGUUUCAUCGGGCCUGGAGUGUCAUUGCUCUGCCUAAACCAUGCCAAAACGCCCGAGGCUGCAGCGGUACGUACUCCUCACAGCAGCCUUCUGCUUAAGCUCGUUCAGUCAAGCCCGCUUUCUCCUUAAUACCCAAGUAAGUUCCACCCAUCUAAGCAUAUGUCAGAACAUUCAAACUAAACUAAUGCAGCAGACCAAAAUAAUCCAAUCAUAGCCAUUAAAUCUUCGGCAUUUUAUUUCCGAUCUGAUCUUAUAUCCUGUGGUUUCAUUUGAUCAGGAUAUAGCGCCACAAUCCGCUGGAUUUCUCCAUGGUACGUUCUUUCUCAUUAGCCCGCUGGAAGGGGAAUGUUUAUAUUAUGUUGUCUUCUCUCUUAAAUUGGUUAGCUGACUACAACGAUUCAAUGACAUUCGGUGCCAGGACAGUGGCAGCGAUAGUCAGCACGAUAGGAACUGGUUAUUUUGUACAAUGAUUAGAAUCAUUUCAAGCAUUUCUAACGGUCACUGCAGGGCUAUAUUUCGUGACGACGCUCUUUUGGAACCUAUUUGCUACCGGAGAGCGCAUCUUCUACACUGAAAUGUCCAUCAAUUUUGCGCAAGUAAACGAAUGUUAGGUUAGGGUAGGAAAAGAUGAACAUAAAAUAUUGACUUGGGAGUUCAAAGUUUUGAGUCAUUUUUGGGCUUGAGCAACUUUUGCUUAUGCAAAAUGUUUGUUAAGUGCUUUUGUAAUGCAUUUGUUAUUUUCAUUCAUUGCUCUUAUGUUAUAUAUUUUUAAAUUCAUUUGUAAGAAGCAAAUUAAUGUAUGAUAUUUUAUUAAAUUCUCAGUGUGAAACAUUCUUUUGUAGAAAUAAUGGCCCGUGUUGGUAAUUUUGAAAACAGGAGCCGUAUAGAUGGAAGCUUUCCUUUCAUUUUUUUGGAGAAUCAGAUUUUCCGGCUUGGAUCACUCGGACCUCCGAUUUGCUGAUGUAACGACUCUCUCUUGGAUCAUUUGUGACUGUGUACGCCCAUACGGUCAGCCAGAGCGGUCCAAUGGACGAUAAGAGAAUAAAGGGACCGGAAAUUCCCAUCGUUGACAACAUAACCAGAGUUAGUAGUAAGCCAGUGACAUUGCCGAGGUGAAAACCAGCCAUAGAGAUUCCAAUUGCACUUGCUCUUUCUUGGGUCGGAAACCACCUGCUCAUAUUACAAGCGACAUGAGGAUUGAAUUCUGCUAAACUUUUACGUACUGAAAAUUGAACGCGUCUGAUAGGUUGUUUACAAAAUUCCCUCAUCUCUGCUAUAUGCAAGUGAACUUGGUUCAUUUGUUUUUCCAAUUCAUGUAUGGUUCAGUACUUCAAUUCACGAGCAGAACUUGUUUACGCAAGUUACCUAAACCACGUACACCGAUACAUCGUUUGGUAACGAAUUAAGUGACCCUAGCAUUAUUGUAACUACACUUAAAGGUCGAAUCUAAUUAAUAAUUAUGAGCAAGGAUUAGGGAGACAUUACCUUGAUAAGAGGGUGCUUAUGGACGGGAGGGCUACACCUUCAGUGAGUCCAAAGAAGGCACGAACGGCCAAGAGGCUGGUGGUGGAAUGGUUAGCAGCCCAUGGAGUGAGGAGAGUUGCCAAAUACCAUAUGGCCAAACCCCAUGCCAUCACUGUCUUUCCUCCAUAUCUGUCUACCAAAGCACCUCCAAUCACUGAUGAGACUGUGUAUCCCCAUAGAAAAGAUGACUGGGAUUACUGCAAAAUGAAUCGUUCGCAUUCUAAAUUGUCGAUAAUGAGAAGGGAAAAGAAAAGCCGAAAGGCCAAACAAGAAAAAUAAAUAAAUUAACAUCGAAACACAGAGAAGUUACUACAGGUGGUUCUCAUUUUUCGAACGGCAAACCCUCAAAUCCUCAUAUACCGAAUCAACACCUUUUUGUAUAUUUUUUUUAGAAACCCUAGAUUUACUUUUUGGGAAGGCAACUUAUUAGAAGGGGAGAUAUUUGAAAUGUCCAAAAUAACCUUGAACAAAAGUCAUGUGCAAGACUUAUUGUGGAUGAAAUACUUAACGGAGUUAGGAUGAGAUAAUAAAUUAAUAAUUUUGAAAAGUUAUUGUGACAAUUGCUUAAAAUUUCAAUUCAUAUGACAUUUCAAAAAAAUUCUCAAAAAAAGAAAAGAAAACAUAGAUCCAAUACCACAGUAUUAUUGUGUGAAUACUUUUUUGUCAAAAUGUUGUCGAUAUAUCCUCGAGUUUGUUUUUUUUGUUUUUUGUUUUUAAAUCACAAAAGGGUGACAACUAGUGGAGGCCAUGGUUAUCCAUCUCUUUGGGGCCUGAAGAGGCUAUGGGGAAUUUCACUCUGCUCAUGGUCAAUCGGAGCAUCGAACUCGUGACCUCCCGCAUUUUUUUGUUUAUUGGGGAGCCACAGUCUGCACCCUUAUUGCUGAGCCACUUGGCAUUGCCUUUGAGGCCGAGUUAUGAAUAAACUUGCCUCUUGAUUAUAAAAUAAAUAAGUUUACAUCACUAGUGUUAUGAUUUAGUAGUAUUCAUUUUUAUUUGGAUAAUAAGAAGUCUAAGUUCAACUAAUGUGGACGCUUUGGUGGUUGGGACAUUUUUCUUUAUCUCAUUGUAUCCCGUGUAACCUCCCCUCCCCAUGUAAAUUAUAAGUAGUAAAUUAUAGGGUAAAUUACAUAGUAGCCCCUAAGGUUUUAAGGUCUAUUACAACUCCAUACAACAUCUUUAAAACAUUUCACUUUCAUACCUUAAGUACUAUUUUAUUUCAAAAUAAUACAACCAUUACAUUUUCCAUCCAUUGAUCCGUUAAGUGCUGAUGUGGCUGCCAAAUGUGUGCCACGUGGUAAAAUUUUUUUUUUUUUUAAACCUAAAUCUUCUAUUAAAAAAAAAAACCUAAAACAAAUGCAGAAACCCGCAACCCAGCAAACCCAUUUCCUCUACCCACCCCCCACGCCCCCGUACCCGCACUCCAGCACCUCCUUUCCUCACCCUUCCUAGACCUCCCCCCGAGCCCUUCCCAGCACCCCCCCCCCCAGAAACCUUUCCCCCCCCCUCCCGCGGCAAACCCACACCCUCCCCUCAGGACCUGCCCGCAGAGCCACCUCCGACAAGCUCCCGCAUAGAUGCAGAGCCGCCUUCCACAGAGCUUCAAGGUAUGGUGGUUGUUGUCCCUAAGCUUAUGGAAUGUCCCAUAAUUUCCACACCCAUUCCUCCCAUUUUCACCUCAUGAACCUAGCGAUGGCGGCAUAGACGGGAUCUAGGUUUGUUUGUUUUUUUAUUUUCUUAUGGGUUGCAGGUAGGGGAGUUGGGGGAAGAAGAUGAAGAUGGGGGAGAAGAGAUGGGAGGAGGAGGGGGGAAGACAAAUUGAAGGGUUUUUUUUAAUUUUUUUUUCUGGGUUGCAGGGGGAAGAAGAUGAAGAUGGGGGGAAGAUGAAGAUGGGGGAGGAGGAGAAGAUGGAAGAGAAGGGGAGACGAACUGGGUUUAGGUUUUUUUUUUAAAAAUUUUUUUAUUUAGAAGAUGGAAGAAGGGGGAGACGAACUGGGUUUAGGUUUUUUUUUUUAAAUAGAUUUUUUUUUUUUUGCCACGUGAUACACAUUUGGCAGUCACGUGGCACAAAUGUGGCAGCCACGUUAACGCUCAACGGAUCAAUGGAUGGAAAAUGUAACGGUUGUAUUAUUUUGAAAUAAAAUAGUACUUGAGGUAUGAAAGUGAAAUGUUUUAAAGAUGUUGUAUGAGGUUGUAAUAGACCUCAAACCUAAGGAGCUACUAUGUAAUUUACCCUAAAUUAUAUAUCCGGAGUAAUCCGUAAAUAUCACAUGUAUUAUAGAAAUGUAGUUUUCAAUGGUUAUUAGCGUAGCAUUCCUACUAAAUAGGGAUUUAUGUAACCCUAUAUAUUGAAAUGUUUUACACGAGUCAUAUUUCAACUUGGUAGAAAAAAAAUUUGACUCGUAUGGAUAAUGAGUUUCAAAGUAAUUAAAUAUUAGAUAAAUGAUACCAUACAGAAAUAUGACUCCUUAUAUUGAUGUCUAUAAAAUGUUACAAUAUAUAUAGGGUUAUAACAAUCCCUGUUUAGGUAAAAAUCCUACACUAAAGUUUAAUUGGAAAUUACAUUCUUAUAAUAGAUGCGAUCAUUCUCAAGAAAAUUACGGAGUAAUUAACUCUAAUCUAACAAUACCAAAUUAUGGCUGAGCCAAAAUCUCUAACCCGCAAUUUUGUUGUAUUUUUUUUAGGAAAACUAAAAAUAUGGUUGUGCUAAAAAAAAUGAUACAAUAUAUUUUUUCAAGAAAAAAAUUUACUUGAGCUAUUUAUAUAUUUAUUAGGUAUCGAAAAAAUCGAACUAAUUAGCGUAAAGAAGUCACUUAACACUACAGUAAGUGAGAGAUUUAGGUUUAAAUUUUGUAAAUAACAAGUUUAUUACCAAUUUGUUACCUACUUUUUAGUGUAACUUUAUUAUCUUAUUAAAAAAAUUAGUAAAAGAAAAAAAAAAACCAAAGGCAAAGUCCCUAUAGAAAGGAUAAUACGAGAGUACCAAAUUAUUUAGUCUUCAAUUGUUUAAGGGACCUUAAGUCUUAAGCCAUGUGACUAAGGAAAUAACUUGUUUAUUUAUUCAUUAUUAUCCUAAUUAUUCUCAUUGAAAACUUACUCUUUAAUUUAUCUCAAUUGUUUUAAAAUAAAUUAAUCGUGGUGCAUAUAAUAUAAUACUUAAAUAUUCUCAUAUGCCCAACCCAAGUGCAGUAGGAUUUUGCGAAGGGGGAUUCUAUUUAAACUCUUUAAAAAAAGAGGAGUUUCAAACCCGGAACGUACGAAGAAAAUUAACUUCUCAAAUUUCUUUUCUGGUCUAGGGUUUUCUCCUAUAAAAAGGCUAGUCGGAAGAAACCCUAAUUUGAGGUGGGAAGAAAGAGAGAGAUUCAUGAGGAGAAAUUCAUAGCUACAUGCCUACAAGAUGAGGUAUGCAUCAAUCCUUUCAUAACUUUGUAACUUCAAUUUAAGUUAUCCAAUCAAUUUCUUUUCAAGUUAACCUAGUUUGUAAAGCCUCCUCAUCAAAACGUUGGAUUUGAAUCUCAGAUUCUCAAUCAUUCUUCACAAUUAGGGAUUAUCUAUCUAAUGCAAGCCAUUAUUGAAAACUAUACCAAUAAACAAUGAAAUAUUUAGGGGAAAAAGGAAGAUUUCCACCUAAUUAGUGAUCGGAUCAUAUUUAUAUAUAUUUUUACUUCAAAUUCACUCGUCUUUUCUUAGUUAGUUCCUCAUAUUUUUGAGCUAUUUACGUUAUUUUUGUGUUUAUAGGAUUUGUUAUGCAAAGAAAAUAAAAAUAGCACAAAUGGGUUUUAAAUAAUAAACAGAAAAUUGUGGAACACGGGUGGACCACGAGAAAAAUAAUGGAGAGCAUAAAAUAUAUAUAUAUAUAUAUAAUAUAUACAUGUAUAAUAUAUAUAUAAUAUAUACAUAUAUAAUAAUAGAUAUAUAUAUAUAUAAAUAUAUAUAUAUAUAUAAUAUAUAUAUAUAUUUAUAUUUAUAAUGGGUUGUUGAAAUGGAAUAGGGUUGGUGAGCACCGACGGAAAAGAAGAAAGAAAGGUGCAGAGUCCACGCGGAGGAAAUAAAGAAAAGGAAAAGCCAGGCAGGAGGGCCUGGCGGAAAGAAAAAAAAGGAUAUAUACGAGACGUGCAGGGAGAAGGGGGGAGAAGUCAGGAAUAAGCUGCCCUCUUGGCAGCAUGAAGUCAGUAACGUGCAGGAAUAAGCUGCCCUUUGGCAGCAAGGUCAGAGAGCAAGUACCGAAGGACGUUGCUUGGGUGCAGCUUGAGCACGGGAUUGGGCGAGGGAGUCAGCAGGGGCCAGGUGGCAGCAUAGAGGGAGCACGAGGAGAAACAGGACUGACGCAAGGAGACACGGAGACAGGCGCUGCCAAUUGGGCAGCUCGUGGUGAUCAGCUCGUGGGAAAGUCAGACAGGCGGAAAGGCAACGUGAGGGCAGCUGGUGGGAGAGUGAGGACCGUGAGAACAGGAAGGCAGUACGGGAAUACAAGCUGCCUUUGGCAGCUGGCAGUUGACGCGCGGAAAGGAAAGUCAGCACGCUGCCUUGGCAGCGUGAAAAACCAGGAAGGCAGGCCAGCGAGGCGCAGUUCACACGGGCGCGAAAGCAGCAGAUCACCUUCUUUCGGUUUACUCUCUCUAAACUUUUAUUUUAUUUCUGUUUUAAUAAUGUGUAACUAAUUUAUUUUAGCUAGAGGUUAAUUCGAAACCAUGAAUAUAUUUGUAAUAUGAAUUGAUUACCUUCAGUUGUGAUUUCUGAGUUGUGAUUUAAUUUGCUUAACUGCUUGAUUGAUAACUUAUUUUUGUAUGUCGAUUAAGAAUGCAUACUUAAUUUACAUGCAUGAAUUUGAUGCUAGAAUAUAAGUGAAUUUCACCUAAUCGUUAUGAACUUAUAUUCACAAGUAGUAAAGGUUGCUAGUCACAAUCACGUUAAGUAAAUUCUUGGCAUGAGUUUCAUGCAAAUCAUAGUAACAAGUGCCUCGUCAAUGCUUAUGUUUUUCAUAGAACUUAAUGAUUCUUGCUUGUAUCUCUAUUAUGCAAUUCAUGUAGGGAACUUGUAGGGAAUGUUUUGGGUUGUUGUAUGCAAUCAUCCAACCCAAUAACUUGUGGAAAAACUGAGAGUUAAUUAGUGCAAUUCACGGUUAAUUUGGGGCGUUGAGAUUUACAAUUUAUUGAAAGAACAACUGAAAAUCAAUUUAGGUUGCAUAUGUGUCAUGUGUGGAGAAGAACCCUCUAGCUAGUCUGUCACCUAUCAUUUCACCUUAAUUUCAUGUUUUUGUAAAUUCUGUAAUUUAUUUAAGUUUAAUUUACUUUUCAUCAAAACCAAACCCCCCAUUAUUAAAUUAUAUUAUUUAGUUAGUUUUCAUUGUUUUUAGUCUUUUAAUUCAAUUUCCGUCCAUUUCAAUUCCUAGUGUCUAUUUUGAUUGUUUUUAUUAUUUUGAGUCAUUUUAAGUGUGUUUCGAAUUAUUAGAGUUUUUAGCCUAGUUUUGUGUCCUUGAGUCUUGUUUAAUAUUUUUAACUUUGUUUUUUAUGUUUUUAAGAGGUUUUAGCAAGCCCUCCUAAUCCCCGGCCUAGAACGAUACCCUACUUAUACUUAUACUACAAUUGACAAAAAGAGGGUUUAAUUUGUGUGCUUAUAUAUUUCGCAUCAAUUAGUUAGAGGAUUCUUCAAAGGGUAAUGCCAGGGAGAAAAUUUGUAAACAAUAAUUUGAAAACUAAGGACAUGAAAGUUGAUGAUUGAUUUAUUACUUAAGCGUUGAUAAACAUGCUCAUUCUUAUUGGUGACACAUCAUUUAGUUUGCAAAUUUUGUCUCUAAAUUUAGUUUUCUUAGCAUUACGCUUCUUGAAAUUGAAACCCCAAACAAACAUACUUUUAACUUGUGAUACUUUCAUCUUAUUUUAGAGAUAUAUAUAAUUCAUGUCUUUUUUUUAUUUUUAUUUUAUGGUCUAUUUAUCAUCAAAUCGACGUGAGAUCACCCUUUUGAAACUACUUAUGUAGGAAGAGCUUAUACUCAAAAGUGAUUUUUCUAGAAGCACAUCAAAAUUCUUAAAAAUAAGCACUUGAAAGUGCUUUUGGAGACACUUCUCCAUAAAGUGAUUUUAUGAUUCAUACACACUUUUAAGUUUUUCUGUCAAGCGUUGUUGUUAACGCUUUUGGUUGUUUGAAAGCCCUGUUAAGCCUUCCAAAAGUAGUUCAAAACAUAUCUUCAAAACGUUUUCAGUGUAGAUACGAGCCUUUAGAAUUUCAAAAGAUUCUCGGAAAAUAUGUGGUUCAUUUAGGACUAGGAAUAGAAAAAAUCAUCAUGGAUAUGAGUAACCGCAAUGUCAUGUCCAGGUGAGGUGAAUAUAGUCCUUUCCAUUUCAAAUUUAAUAGGUUGAUACUAUUUACACAUUUCUUUUUACCUCUCACACACCCGCUGUUAAUUUAUAUUAUUUGAUCAUCUUCAAUUCAUUUGUCUGACACCCAAAAAUAAGACGUGUGUAGAAAGUUAUAAAAAAAAAAGGUGUAGAUAGCACCACUCUGUUCAAUCUUGCUAUAAUUUUAUUUAGUAUCUUUUAUUGCAUUUAUACAUAUAAUAUAAUGUGAUAUGAUUAUCUUCCAAAUAGGAAAUAAAUAAAAUAAAAUAACGUAACAAGGCCGUAGACUUUUAGUUGCCAUCCAUAGUUGAAACUUUUAAAUUGUCUAUGGAAGUUUUGUAGAACUCAAAAAGUCAUCAAUGGAUGAUGAUAUCAUUGUAGAAUCCUUUUAGGAUGUUUUUGUUACUGAUGAUUGACUUGGAUAGAUAAUUUACUAGAUUUAAAACGUAUUGAAGGACAACAUUUGGUUUCACUUUUCUCUCCCGAAAGGUAAGAGUUUUUCUUUCUGCGUGAAAGGUCUUCUCACUGGGUUGUGAGUGGUAAAAUUUUCGACGAAUCACUUGGUCGCCGACCCUAGCAGUGGUCAAGGGUCGGCGGCAACCCCCUUUUCUUUGUUUUUUCUUUUCUUUUCUUCCCUCUCUUUUUAUUUGUGUUUCCCUUGUUUUCCCGUUAGUUUUUCACUACCAUCCAAUCCCCUUAUGCCUUCGAUCGGUAAGCCCCAAAUUCGGACCUUCCCCUUCAUCUUCUUCCUGUUUUUUCACUUACAUGGUUCUAAUCAAUCCAUCUUCUAUUGAUCCCAUUUGGCCCUAUCUUCCUUCACCCCCACAAAUUUCCAGAUUUAUAAUUGCUUCCCCUUUCCCUUUUUUGCGGGUUAAUUGGAUGGUGCUCAGAGCUCCGGCUCGGAUGUUUACACCACCACCAUCCACUUGUCUGCCGUUCUCCGCGCUGUUGCUUGUGGGAUUUUCCACUGGCUUCCUUUCCUUGGUGGUUGCGAUUUGGAUAUAUGUGGUUCUUGUUGCAGGUAGGUGGAGUCUUCUUCUUUUUGUUUCUGAGGCUUUGCAUUGUUUGAUCUUCGGUGUCUACAAGGGAAGCUGGUUCAUUGUUGAUGGUUGGUGCUCCAGCGGUGAUAGAGGAAACUAGCUGCUUGGUUUUUCUGGUUUUGGGCCUCAAAGUUUGUGUUGUUAUGGAGGCUUAUAUCUUUGUUUUGUACUUUUGUUGUAAGUGGGCCUCCAUCUAUGUAUAUGUGUGUGCUUGGUAAUAAUAUUUACCUUCGACAAAAAAAAAAAAAAAAAAAAAAAACAUAUUGAAGGAAAAAAUUGAUGAAAACUUUCAAUUUUUUUCAGGUCAAAGCUACAAGAUGGAUACUCAUGAAAGAAAGUUAUCACUUUUAAUCUUAAAAAAAAAAAAAAAAAAAAAAAAAACGGUAGGAUUGGAAGGUAUCCUCUAUUUUUUAUUUCAAAAUGCUUCAAUCUAGUGAGUUAUCCUAACCAAAUUGAUCUUCUGUGACAAACAACCAAAUUGAUCAUCCGUGACAAACACAACCUUACAAUUUACUGAUGGAACAAAUUUCUAUAGGGAAAUUUAUUAAAACCCAAGGUCUUGGGUUAAGUCACCACUUAGCACUACGAUCUAGUGAUUUUAUCUUCAAUUAUAAGCAAAAGAUAUUGGGUUCAAUUUUCAUGGAUGGAGGGUUUGAUGCUAAAUUUUUUUGGCCUUCCAUUAUGUGGCUUGACUCAUAUCCCACUUCCUUAGAGCAAAUAUGUCAUUGUACUUGGUUAGCUCAAGUUGUGUAGGAAACUGGUAAAAUAUAGGUUUUCAAAAUCCCAACUACCUUUCAUUAGUUUGAAAAAAUGGUAAACGAGCAGAAUCCUUCAUGGAUCUGAAUCCUUGCUUGAAAUUCUUCCGCGAUCCUCGAAGUCGGAGGCUGGGCCCUGCCUAG